rnacentral:rRNA from 1 species
UACGUAGGUGGCGAGCGUUACUCGGAAUUACUAGGCGUAAAGCGCGUGUAGGCGGGAACUUAAGUCUGUCGUUAAAGCUCAGGGCCCAACCCUGAAAUGUCGACGGAUACUGGGUUUCUUGAGUGCGGUAGAGGAGAUUGGAAUUCCAGGUGUAGCGGUGAAAUGCGUAGAUAUCUGGAAGAACGCCAAAGGCGAAGGCAGAUCUCUGGGCCGUUACUGACGCUGAGACGCGAAAGCUAGGGGAG